CCAACUGGGCGGAGGAUCCUCCUCCAGUCACCACUGUGUGGGAGUCCAGGUCCCUGCCACAUAACUGCAGUGCUUUACUGAGCAUGUCAACAUCACUUCAUAGGAAUUGCUGAUUAUUAUCCAUCUUUCAGGAACUUCCCAGCCUAUGCUCGUACAAAUUUCAAUGGUUUUAGUAAAGGCAAGAAGCUGUGUGUGGUCUGGGUUGCCUUUGACAGUCUACAGAGCUGCAAAUAAUCUAUACCCUCUCUGUCAGUCCAUGCAGUUAAAUGUAGCUAGAAAUUAUUACAGCUCUGAACCUUCAAAGCAUGGACUCCAACACAAAAGAAACUUGCAAAAUCUCUACAAUCUUAUCAUUGAUUUCUCUGAUGCCUUCCAGUCACUAAAACCUAACAAACACUAGGCAUCCACACAAGGAACAUCCCAACCAAGAAUUCCAAAUGCAGCCUGCCAUGUCUGUGAUUCCUAAUGAAGGUGUGAACCAAGAAGACAGGCUUUCUGCACCCAUGAGCAGUUACUAUUUAUAGCUGUAGCUAAUGAACCAAAACAAGUGGAAACCUGUUAGUAAGGCCCUAACUUCAGAUGCUUUGCUUCAGCUGAGGUAGAACACAAGAAAUAAAGCUCUUUCAGCUCGAUCAACAGGCUCAAGGCAUUUCCUAAAGCAGAUGCUGCCAACUGCCAUUGAGCUGGUCAAGCUCCCUGAGGCUGUGGGAGACUUUCGGCGUAGGGGAUUUUUAGCCAAGCCUUUAUUCUCAAUCCUAAAUGCAAUCAAGUCUCAAAGAAAAGGUUCAGACAAGCCUUCAAGCAGCAUGGCAUCCAGCCAAAGGCCUCUCUUCAGACCAAGACAUGACUUCAGACAUGAUUUCUUACUAGCAAUAUUAUGACAGUGCCGAGAGGCCCUCAGAGAGACUGCAGGUGCACACUCAGCCUAAAAUGCACACAUGAAAAGGUAAUAUGGGUGAAAUAUUUGCACCUUGAAGAGUUAAAAGAAAAUGUUUGCCUAGUGCACUACAGAGUCAUUUCUCUUUAGCCCUCAAUCUUGAAAGUCUUCAGUUUAUGCCCCCCAAGUCUUCUACUCUGUUACUUGAUUCAGUACAGGGAUCAUCUUUAAAUAGUAGCACACAACUCUCUGCUGUCUCCUGACAGCAAACUUCUGUUUCAGUGUUAGGAAAAAGCCAGCCCUUGCUCUGCACAACACUGAGUAUGUUAAUACCCUCACUGGUAGGGAACACAUGAAGACAUUUUUCCUGAAAACUAAAGUUAUAAAGGGAGGCAAAGAGAUUUACUCCUUUUUUUUGACUAACCAGUCAGGUGUAAGAAGGUAACACACACACACUAUUAAAGAGAACUUUCUGUCUAAUACUGAAAUAAUUAAGAACAUUGAUGACACCUUGUCUGAAUAGACAUAAGCAAAAUGGGCUUGGAGAUAAAAGAAUAACACUGCACUGUCAGAAAAAAAAUGUAGAGAAGACUGAAUAAGAAAUCAAGGCUUCCUCAGGAGUUUGGAACUGAGCUGAGGCACAUGGUGGGAUGGGAGUUUUCUCUCAUCAGAGGGGUAACUGAUGGAGGCUCAUGGACAGGCUUUUUCUAAGAGAUGUGACCUGAAAGAUAAGCUGUGUGCAAACAAGAAAGUCUUGACAGAUCAAGACCUUCCUACUACAAGCUCGGUAUAAAUAGAUGAAGCAUUUUUGCCUUUUCUUUUUGUCUCUAUCUUGCAUAAGUGUUUCUAAAUGUGUUGCCUAUUU